UUCAUUCUUCUUUUCUUCCUCUCUUUCCUCUGUUCUUCAUGCUCGUCAAUUUGUGAGAAGACUGAGUGAUUUUGAGAAUGGAAAUUAGGGGAAAAUGUCAAGAGCUGUUUGUUUGUGAUGAUGUUGCGGUUGAUUGAACACGAGAUGAUGAUAGAAUUGCUACUGUAAAUCGAAGUUAGGAUUUCUGGUUACGGUUUGUGUAGAAUUGAGAGAUGAUUUGGGUUGUUGUUAGAUGAAGAACGAUUGGGUUGAGAUUUAAUUAAAGCUCUGAAGCUGUUUGGAGGUGAAAUUGAGAAUUAGGGUUGGUCCUGUUCUUCCCCAAUUUAUGAAUUAGAGUUUCUGAGGGUUGAUGAUUAUGAGACUCAAAUCGAGACGGAAGAAGAGUAAAUCUAGUUUUAGAUGGAAGUGGUGGUGUUGAUUUAAGCGGCUGAUACAUAACCUGCAGAAAAGGUAAUUUGAGAAUUAAAAUUAGGGUUCUUUAUUUUGAAUCUCUUUUAUAUAAAUUGGAUAAGAGAUGAUGAAUCCAAAAUGGGUUUAGUUAGAUUUAAGCUAAAAUUGAUUGUAUGAAGUUCAAUUUAGAUUUCAGUGAAAUGUUGGAUUGAGUUGCAGGAGGCUUGAAUGUGUUUUGUGUUGGGGUUGAAUGGUUGUUGCUGGUGGAUGUCUGAGUUGAUGAUUUGAAUACAGAUGGGUUGUAGUUUAAAGUUGUGUUGAACUGUUUACAUUUUAUAGUGGUGUAUCUAAGAUUUGAACUGAGGUUGAUGUGGGUGUAGAUUUGGAGGUGAACUGAUGUUGUUGGUUGUAUAGAUUAAGUUUGAAGUGAUUAAGCUAAGAUGCCUGAACUAGUGUAAGAGAAUUGAAAUGGAAUUGGAGUUGCAACUGUAUCUGGUGGUUAACUGAGGAAACUGAUGUGAUGUGUGGAAGCUGUGGUUAUGUUGAUGAUGCAGUUCUUAAGAGUGGAGAUAAUGGUUGAGAUGCAGCUGCAGCUGUAGGGGUCAUUGUGUUUAUGAUGUUAUAAACUGUUGAUGGUUGAAGUUGUGUAUGAGUGGAUCAAUUUGGUGGUUGUGGUUGUGGCUGAAAUGCAGAUGAGUUUAAAGAUGAAGCAUUAGUACUGGUGAAUAUAUGAUGGAGUGGUAAUUAUAAGUAAUAGGUGUGGUUGAAUUACAAUUGGGAGAGAAGUGUAACUAAAAUAGAAGUUGUAGUUAAGGUUUAGAUGAUUGAGUUUCAGAAUGAAGGUUAGAAGAAUAUGUUGAGUUGAAUCUCUUCAGUAAAAGCUUGGAACUGCUGAACUGCAUGCAGUUAGACUCUAUUAACAACGAUCGAUUCAAAGGACGAACCAGUGGAUCGUGGAUCUCGAGGUAAACGUGGCUUGUCAUCAAAAGAGUUUCAGAGACAGAUCAGAGUUGCGCAGCGAAAGCUUCAAGGGUUCUGUUCGUUGGUUGGUUAACUUACGUUAUGUGUAUUAUGUUGUAUAUUUUGUUUGUAAUCCACAUGACUAUUGUAUAUGUAUCAUUUGAGAGAAGUUCUUGUAUAUAUAUAUAUAUAUAUAAUUCUGAGCGGGGCUAGUUUUGGGUUAA